GCGGCACCUGCAGCGGCGGCCGGUCCUCCUUCCGCGCGCCCGGGAUCCGCCCCCGCCGGGAGCGCCGCUUUCCCAGCCCCGCCGCCGGGAGGCGUGGCCGCGGCCGUGAUUUAGGGCCGGGCGAUUCCGCUGGCGGCCGCCAAGGUGCCAAUUACUGCUCGGCCGGGCCUGGAUUUCAAAAAUUCCUGCUCUUCCCCUGGAAGUUCCGGCGUCGCUCCUCCGAGGGAAGACACAACUCCCACCUUGGAGAGAAAACCGGGAUCCUGGGACGGGCUGUGCGGAGAAACCGAGCCCAGGGUGGUCCCGGGAGCCCCGUCAUCCCAGGAGGCUGGGCUCUAGAAAGGCCGGUAGCCUCCAUCCUCUCCCAGGCCCGGGCCCUCAGCGGUUCAACUUAGAGGUGGGAUUAAUAACAGCUACCUCAGAGCUGAUCUGUGCCUGAGACAGCACUUGAAACACCAUUGGACGGCCCCCUCUCACCUGGUAACCCACCCUCACCUUCUGCGUCAUAAAGGAAACAUUGAGACCACCGGAUGUGAACUCUCAACUUCCUGCCCACCGCCCACAGAAGUAUCCAGCCUGUGCCUCCUUCCUCCUGCUUUCUGAAGCUGGUUCCUCGCCGGGCCGGGAGCCCUUUCCUCUCCGGUCUCUUAGAGAACCUAGACUUGGCUCCUCUCUCCAGUAUUUUUUUCUUUAAAAAUGAGUUUAUAUUUACAGAAAAUUUCAGCCUAAUACAGAGUUCUCAUAUGCUUUGCACUCAGUUUCCUUAAUUAUUAACCUCUUACAUAGCACAUUUGUUACAAUUAAUGAACCAAUAUCGAUACAUUAUUAUUAUUAACUCCAUAUUACUAAUAGCUGCAUAUUAACUGCAUUGUGUGUGUGUGUGUGUGUGUGUGUGUGUGUGUGUGUGUGUGAGUUGCUCAGUCGUGUCCGACUCUUUGUGACCCAUGGACUGUAGUCCACCAGGCUCCUCUCUCUAUGGAAUUCUCUAGGCAAGAAUACUGGAGUGGGUAGCCAUUCCCUUUUCCAGAGACCUUCCCAACCCAGAGAUCAAACCCCGGUCUCCUGCACUGCAGGCAGAUUCUUUACCGUCUGAGCCACCAACUCAUCGAGUUGGACACCUUAAAUAUUUGCAAUUUUUAUUUAAAAUAUGUAAAGAAAAAAGGCAUCACCAUAAAAGAAAGUAAAAUAAACAAAAUGCUAUCAACAUACCCUUUCUCUCACUUGAAGAUACAAAAUAGUGAAAAUAGUUGCUGGAAUCCCCAAGCAUUACAAACUUUUGCUCCGGUUCCUGCUUCUGGUGAAUUCAUAGCUGUGAAAAACGGAUAAUUUCCUUUUUUUUUUCCCUUUCUUUCUUUAAGGGAAUCUGUCACCUGGGAUCAAAUAAGAACUUGAUUAAGAAAAUAAGACCCAGGGAGAUGCCUUCUAAUCGUUAGGGUCCCCCAACAAAACAGAACCAAUAAGAGGUUAUGAUAUUUUGAUUUUUAAAAAGUACUGAAUUUUGUCAUAAUAUCUCUUCUGUUUUAUGUUUUGGUUUCUUGGCCCUCAUGGCAUGUGGGAUCUUAGCUCUCUAACCAGGGAUGAAACCUGCACACCCUGCAUUGGAAGGUGAAGUCUUAAUUACUGGACCUCCUGGGAAGUCCUUGUGAUAUUGUGACUUAAAAUAAGAAGCAUGUACUUGGUGUUCAUCCCCAUUUCUGGCACACAGCUCUAAAAACGCUUGGAAUUUCCUAAGUGAUAAAUUCCUUUUGAUGUAUUAAUGAGAUGACUAUUGGACUGUAUAUAAGGAUAGUGGGCUGGUUGCUGGGAGAACCAACCAUGUGAUUCAGAUCAGAUCAGAUCAGAUCAGUCGCUCAGUUGUGUCCGACUCUUUUCGACCCCAUGAAU
ensembl:lncRNA